rnacentral:lncRNA from 1 species
GAUUUCCGGUUUUCUGUUACCAGACGGACAUUAGCUGAAAGGAUUUCAGAAGCACUGCAACAAUUGGGAUUAUGCAGCAGAAUGAUGGAAACAACAAACACUGUUUAUCAUUUGCCUGAUUCUCUCUAUGAAAUCUUGUUGCUCUUCCUUAUCCUGGAAACUGGGGAAUGGGGCACUGUACCAAGAGCAACUCUUUGAGCAGCACAAAUUCCAACCCAAAUUGCUGUAACAGCCCCAUUAUUGAUCUGGAAUACAUCAAGCAGUUGGUCAGUGAUGUCAGGAGGUUAGCAGAGUUGUUGCUCCGUUUGAAAGCAGCUAUCCUCUCAGAAGAUUAUGCUCUCCAUGUUCUCUGGUCAGGACAACACAGAAUUUCUGGGUACAUGAAAUGUCUUUCAUAUUCAGUUCCAGCAUUUGGUCUGAAUUGACUCCUUGUCUCUCAAUUGCAUCCAUUUUGGAAUCAAGAUUAAUAACCUGCUAGGAAUUUCCUUUCUCAAGAAAGGGGCCCUUGGUUGUGGGGCAAGUUGGGCAAAGCUGUCACCAGCUCAGAGGUAAGACAGUGUCUUAUGGCAAACACGCUGACAGGAAGGACACAGUUUCUUUUAUUUUAUUUUAUUUUUUUUUCAUAAAUGACUUACACAGGAUCACACAGCUCUAGCAAGUGUCUGCAGCCAGAUUUGAACUCAGGUUGUCCUGAUUCCAGGGCAGGUUGCUCUACCCACUGGGUCACCUAGCUGCCCCAAGGACACAAUUUCAAGUUGUGGUACCUGUCAGUGGCCUGGGGGCACCUUGGCCUUCGGAAAGUCAACCCACUUCUGCUGCUGCAGCAUUCCCUAUAACUGGGCUGUUAGUAAGCUGCUUGACUAGGUGCCCCUAGGGCUCUGUCCCUGUGGUGACUGUGAUUCAAGCAGAUAACACAGCAGGCUUCUAAAUCUACAGGACUCUCUCACAGUCAUUUAGUCAGUCAAUAAGAAAUUAUUAAAUGUUAACUGUGUCCAAGGCACUGUGGUAAGGUCUGGGGAUAUAAAGUAAAAAACACAGUCCCUUCUCCCUUGGAAGUCAAUCUAAGGUGGGAGGGGCACAAUAUACAAACAGCUAGGGUGUGACUGGUCAAGUCAUUUAAUUUUUCUUGGCCUCAGUUUCUAAUCUGUAAAAUGUAGGGGUUGGACUAGCUGGCCUCCCUGGUCUCUUUGAACUCUGAAUGGAUGAUCCUGUGAUCUGUGUGUGACCUUAAGCAAAUCAUCUAGCCUCCCUGGGCCUCAGUCUCCUUAUUUUUAAAAUGAAGAGGUGAGGUCUGUCCCAGCUCUGUACUGCUGUUGCUAUGAUCUUUCCUACCGUAGGGGAACCUCUCAGUAGAUCACCAUGUAUUUAUUCAAUCAGUCAAUUAACAAUCAAUUCAUAAGUCUUUAUCAAAUGCCUACUUUGUGCUAGGCACAUAAGUACAGAGAUCAAAGUAAUCUCUGCUCUUGAUGAGCUAACAU